rnacentral:tRNA from 1 species
GAGGGUGUAGCUCAGUGGUAGAGCGCAUGCCUAGUGUGUGUGAGGCCCUGGGUGCAAUCCCCAGCACCUCCA